AUUUUACCCAACCCAAUUUCAAAAUUAUACAAGUAUUUUACAUAUAUACAUAUAUCUUAUUAUACAAGCUAGGCCACCAUAGUAUAAACAGUACUAUGCAAAUUUGGUGCACUAACUGAAUGUCAAAUAUAAUCAUUUGUCCCUUCACAAGUUCAUAUUAUGUUCCCAAGCCUCCAAGUUCCUGCAGUCCUACCAUAUCUCGUUGUUGUAAUCAUAGGGGAUGGGGAGUUGGAGUUUAGUUUUCUAUGUGGGGAAUGAAUGGAUAUUUCCUGGAAUGACCCAUUUUGUUAAAUAAAGGAUUUUCAUAUUUUGUUCAAUUCAAGGUUUGUUUCGAAAAUAAUUUACACAACGAUAGGCUUUGUUAAAAAAAUAUUUACCCAACCCUUCAUACCCCAGAAAAAUGGCUUACCCAACCCAUUUCUCUUCGGUACCAACCCCGGGUAUAAAUAAUGAACACUCCC